AAAUCAUCUAGAUGGAGCAUUUCUGCUUUCACCAAACUGAAUUUCCUUCCCAAGAAUUUUGUAUUUCAUGACAAGUUUUAAAACUGAGAUUUUUUUUUAAUCUUAAAGAAAAUCCCAAACUUAGAACUUCCCAUAGGACAAAAAUUCAUAUUUUGGUGAUAAAUCACAGGGAACUAUGUUACUGGAGAAACCGAAUGUCUGGGGAAAGCUGGCUGAUAGUACUAUCCAAAAUGGCAGGGACAGUCCUGAGGACAAUCCUGCCUCUGUUACCUGUGCAGAAGCUGCUCCAAACUCACACAAAGCUUUUGCAGCAAACAAAAAUUGAACUUAGGAGCCUUUACAACCAGUUGCCUUCUUUAGUCUUACUGAUUUCUGUUGGCACCUUGGCAGCAAAAUGGAGAGUUUUUUCAUAUAUUUUCAUUUGCGAAAUUAAAUUUGGAGAGGGGAAAGAUAAUUUCAUACAGUAAACCAACAUAAACAAAAAUAGCCCUUCUGGGUAAGAAAAUACAGCUAGCUGUGGGAAGUGCAUGUAAGUCAAUACAAAUAACAGCCAUCUAAAAGCAUGAUGUUCUUUAUUUCUAGCAAGCAAACUUCAAAAGAAGAUGAAAACAAAGGAGGACACAAUAGCAUGUAGAUUAGAGAACAUAACAUGUAGAGAUGCUGAGAAAGCCAAAUUCAGACUCCUGUGAAAGAGAUGGCUCAGGGUGAACAUGACCACAGUUUAAUAUCAAAGGAACAACAGAAAUGAAGUAAUAGAAGAAGCACUUCAAAAGAGAUACAACUGGGAUACAACUGGGAUACAGAGAAGGUUCAUUUAUGGCAUUAAAGGAACCCAGACUUAAAGACCAAGAUCUCUUGCAGCUUUGGCUAAAUUAGCAACUGUUAAAAAAUAAAGCAACUUUUAUUUAGCUCCUAGCUUUAAGUGAAUGUCAGAUCACAGGCACUCAGGUUCAAAAAGCACUCAGAAAGUUUAUGCAACUGAUCUGGCCACCUUUCCCGAGGUGAGUAAUUAG